UUCAAUCAAAUAUUGGACGUCCAAGUCCUACAUCGGUUUUCUAUUCUUUUAUUUGAAUCUAUUUUUUUAAAGUAAAUUCUACUGGGCUUUUAUUAUUAAGAAGAAAAUAGAAAACACAUUACGAGGCCCAGUUUUGGUAUUGACUUUAUGGACUGUAUCUUACUUAUCGGCCUAACAAACAAAACCUAAAUUAAAAUAAACAAAAUCAAAUGAAAAGACAACUCAAUUAAAGCUGCAGAAAAAGGAAACCUAAAGUAAUAAUGCUUAGCCGAUUUCCAAGGCACAGCUAGACACCAACUGCCUCUUCUUAUCAUUUCCAACGUCCCUCUCUGUGCAGUCGAAUAGCCUCUCUUUUAGUUUUCAUUUCUGCUAUUCAAUUCUUCCUGCACAAAAUCCUCUCUAAUCUGGGCAUAUUCUCCAUCGUCCUUCCGGGUUCAAAUAGGAAAGGUCUGGGUUCGCUCUCAACUGGUAUGUUUCCUCUCCUUUCUUUAAGGAUUCUUUUGCUACUUUGUGGGCAUGGACGUUGUCUGUUCUGUUUAUAAACUGGAACCCAAUUUCAUGAAACCAUGCUUUCUUGCUUUGAAUGUCACUGAUUAUCGCCCCGAUGACUAACUUAUCUUGUUCUUGUGAUUGGCAUUUUUUUAAUGACUGAGCGAGAAUCUCCCCUUACCACGACUGAGCGAAGGUCCAACGAUAUUCCUAACUUUACAGCCUGUAGUCCUAUGUAGGCUUUGACUGUGAAAGGCAAUGGAACAUUUGAGUGUAAUACAGUUUUUGAUGCCAAAAGUUCCCCCAAAUAGUCCCAAGCCACCAAACUUGAAGCCGGUUUAAAGUUUUUUUAUCGAAGGCUGCGCCAAACUUGGUCUCCGCCCUAGUAUUAAUUUCUCGACUACUAUGAUUUUUGUUUAUGGUCAAGGUACUUGAUCUCUCUAUUAUACCUAUAAGUUCAGCCAUAUAGCUUUGUAUUCUUUGUGAUAACUCUCUUGCUGUCUCUGUUUUCCUUUCAUGGAUGAGUCUGUUUCUCGAGUUCCUGAUGAGCCAUAUUUCACAGAAAACCAUUCGGCACUGUUCAGAAGAGCAACUGUAAUACUCUGAGAAAGAAUUUUUACAGGAAGAUAUUAUCUUUGAUAUAAUGAAAUAAGGAAAUAAAGUGACAAAAAGGGAAAUUUUGAGUUAUGUCAGUAUUGGGAAGUAUAUUAUGAUAUAUUAAUUCAAGAAAGGACUAAAUUGUAAAAGUGAGAAAAGUUUUGUUGUACAAGAGUAAAUACUUAAAAUUUAAGGGUUAAAGUGUAAAUAUUAAAAAAUUAAAGGAUUAAUAGUGUAAAUAUUUUAAGGGUGGAAUGAUUUAGAAACUAAAGAAAAUGGAUAAAUUAGGACCAAAUUGAAUAUAUGAAGAAUUAUGAUGGACUAAAUUAUAAUUUUAUCAAAUUUAAAUAAUGACUCAAGGAUAGAAUUUUAAAAGAUCAUAACGGGCAAAAUGGUCGAUUAGAAGGAGAGAGAGAAUUCUAGAAGUCAAUAAUGAUAUUAGAGAUAUUUUGAUAUUUUAUAAUUAUUUAAUUAAAUAAUAUUUUUUUAAUAUUUUAAUAAGAUAUUUUAUUAGUAUAUAAAGAAAGAUGAGAAAUUCUCAUCUAUCUUUUACAUGCAACCAACGUUAGAAGAGAAGAAAAGAAAGAUUUUCUGUUCUUUAUAAUUUGGUCCUUAUUUUUUGUUCUUUACAAUUUGGUCCUUUUAUUAAAAAUUCACCAUUUUCACUUUGAAAUCAAAAGAAUUUUCAUAGCUAUCAAGAGAGAAAGAUGACAAGGAGACUAUGGAGAGUUAGAAUAUCAAGUUAGAUUCAAGAAAUAGAAGCUGGAGUAGAGAGAAAGUCAAGUUAAAGAUUGAAAUCAAUAGGAUAAAGUAAGAACAUCAAGAUUUCAAUAUAUUUUUAAGCUUGUUAUUAUUGAAAAAGUAUGGAAAUGAUGUUAUAGUAGAGUUUUCUUACAUAAGGUUUUAUGUUCUUAAUAUGUUAGUGAAGGGAAGUAAGAGAAAGUGAUGAGAAAUAUUAUAGAGAAAGGGAAUAAGGGUGUUAUAAACUUAGUAAUCAACAUUUUGCACUAAAACAGUUUUGGACAGCAGCAGUAGUCUAAAUUUAAAAAUUCACCAAAAAUUGUAAAGUUUUAAUUAAAGGUUAAAUAAUAUAUGAAAUUAAAGAUUAUUUGUUCUAGUUUCACUAGAAAAAAUGGUAUAAGUAAUGGAAUUUUAAAUUGUGAGAUAUAACAAUUUAUGUGACGCCAGAUCAGAUUGAUUUUGGGUUUCCCUGUUCUGACUUUGGAAAAUUAUUAAAAAUUGUAUAAAAAUAAUUAGGGGUUUAAAUUUAUAUAUUUAAAUCCUUAAUGAGUCUAUUUUCAAGAGAAAUUAACGGAAACAUCAUUCGAAUCCCGUACUAAAAGAUAAUUUUUAGUAAAGAAAGGUUGAAGCUGUCAAACAGCAGAAUAGAGAUAAAUUUGAAGAUUUUACUGUACUUUUUGGCUAAAGUAUAAAUUCUAGAAUUUUUAUGGUUGAAAGAUGUCAUGGCAACAUGACAGGAAAUGAACAAUACCAUGGUUGAAAGAUACCAUGACAACAUGACAGGAAAUGAAUAAGACAAUGGUUGAAAGAUACUAUGGCAACAUAACAGGAAAUGAAUAAGACCAUAGUUGAAAGACACUAUGACAUCUGUUGAACAAUUGAUAUUCAAGUAAUAUGUAUCAGAUGACGAGUGAUUAUAUGAAUUGGUUGUAAAAAAUGGUUAUGUGAAAUGUUUAUAAGAAUUGGUCAUAUGGAAAUAUAUGUACAAAAUAGUUGUAUGAAAUAAUUAUAAAGAUAGAUAAACAAAAUAAGUAUAGGUACAUGAAAUUUAAUUUAUAUUCAGUUUGAUUUGAACUAUUACCGAAAUAAUUAUACAUAAAAUAUAUGGAAAUGAUGGUGCAUGAAAUAUUGAUAUAAUGAAAUGAAUGAUAUAUGCUUAUGAAGAAACAAUAAGAGAAUGAUAUGUUUCAUGACAUGUACAUAUAUGAUUAUCUUUGAUAUGUUGAUACAAUGAAAUUAUGUAAGUUGAGACAAUUAUUAAACUCAAGUGUGACAUGUCUAGAACAUAAGUAUAUCAAUGUUGAAUUUAUAUAAAAUAUGUGCUAGUAUACUAACAAUGUUGUUGUUUGAUACUUAGACAAGUGCCAAGCUAUUGAUUGAAUGGUAAUACGUUUAUUUAUACGAUGCAUUAAAUCGGUAACUAUUUAAUUAAAAUUUUUGUUAAAUGAUAUGUAAAUCCUAGUAAUGCCUCGAAAUUCUGUUACGGCGACAGAUACGAGUUAGGGAUGUUACAGCAACUCUUAAAGAUCCAGGUAAGCCAGUCCCGUGCUAUUUAGUACCCACGAGAAGCCUAACAUUUGCCAUACCUCUGUUGUUAUAGGACAUUGCCAAAAAACGUGAAUAUUGUCUUCUUUUCCAUUUUUGCAUUGAGGACACACUGCAUUAGCUGUUACUCGUUUAGAUCUUAGGUUGACAAGAGUAGGAAUAUAAUUUCAAGAAAUACGUCAUAUUGUGAUUGUAAUCUUCGUAGGCAACUGUAGAUUCUAAAGUUUUUUGUAGAAAUCUUUUAGAUCGGUUUGUUUUAAAAUAUUAGGAUCCAAGCUAGCCUCUUGUAAUAGUUUAUAGGCGCUUCUUACUAAAAAUUUACCGGAUGGCUCCCCUCUCUAUACUUGGAAAUCGUCAUAAGGUGUUUCCGAAAGAAGGUUCUGCAAGAUUUGUUGAGCUAUUUCUGUUGGAAAGGUACUUUUAAUUAACUUUGUCUUCCAUGUUCUUGUUAAAGCUUCAAUUAAGUCUGAUACUAACUCUAUUCUAUUGUUUUUAUUGCUCCGUUCGUCUGUGAUCUGUCCUUUGAUCCAUCUAUCUUUCCAUACAGAAAUUCCAUUGCCUCUUCCAACUUUCCAACCCAGUCCAUUCUGUAGUAAGCCUUUUACAACUCAGAUACUCCUCCAAGUAAGUGAAGGUAAGUUCCCUAGUUGAGAAUUAAGAAAAUUUGACUGCGAAUAAUAUUUAGCUUUAAAAGCUCUCACCAAUAACGAAUUCGAAUAAGUAAUAAGGCACCACCCCUGCUUGGCUAAUAAAGCGAUAUUAAACUGACUAAAAUUUCUAAAACCAAGGUCCCCUUUAUCCUUUAAGAUACACAUUCCUCCAUGUGCACUAAUGUAUUCCUCUUUUCCCAUGCCCCUUUUGCCACCAAAACUUGGCAAUAAUACCCUCUAAUUCAACAUAUAACGAAAUUGGUAAAAGAAAACAAGCCUUUAUGAAAACUUCCUUCCCGCCUUAAGAGAGGCGUCUGGCACUCCAAUUGUCAGUCCACUUCUUAAUUCGAUCUUUUAAAAUCUGGAACGAUUCUUUUUUUCUUCUUCCAACCAUAUUUGGUAGUCCAAGAUAGCGUUUUAGGUCAUUUGAACUUCGUACCCUCAAAAUGUUUUCAACUGCUUGUCUAUCUUCCAUUACUGUAUUGUUUCUAAAAAAGACAGUAUUUUUCAAAGUUAACAUAUUGGCCUGAACAGAUCCGGUACUCCCUUAGAAUUUCCUUUAAUAGUGUGGCUCCUCUACUAGUCGCCUCGCUAAACAAUAUGUAGUCAUCUGUAAAUAACAAAUGUGAUAUUUGCGAACCUCAUCUGCUGAUUUUGACUCCUUUCAAUGAUCUUUCUGUAGCUGCUAGCCGCAUUAAACAAGAAAGUCCUUUUCCACAAAUGAAAAAAAGAAAUGAACUUAAAGGAUGUCUUUGUCAAAGUCCCCUAGACGGUUGAAACUUUUCUCCUAUACACCCAUUAACCACCACUGAAUAAGGCACUGAAACUAGACAUUUCAUAAUAGUAUCUAUCCAAUUUGUCGCGAAACCCAUUCGAACCAUCAUUACCUUAAUAUAACUCCAUUCAACUCUGUCAUAUGCUUUACUCAUAUCUAACUUUACCUCCAUAAAACCUUUUUUCCCAAUCUCUUCUAAUUCAGUGUAUGGAGAAUUUCAUAGGCUAAAAAACGUUAUCUGAAAUCAGCCUUUCUGGUAGAGAGCACUCUGAGCCACAUCAAUGCAUAUCUCAAUAACUCCUCUGAAUUGAUUUGCAAUAACUUUUGCCACAAUUUUGUAAAUCACGUUGCACAAACUUAUAGGCCUAAAUUGCUUCAUAGUAAAAAGAUUGACAAUUUUUGGAAUGUGUACUAUAUAUGUCACAUUUAUCUGUUCAACCUCUUUACCAUCAUUGAGAAUUUGUAGACAAAAUUUGACCACAUCAUCCCCAAUAAUAUGCCAGCACUUCUGGUAAAAAACAGCUGGUAAUUCAUCUUCUCCUGAGGCUUUUGUAGGACCCAUCUCAAACACCGCAUAUCUAAUUUCUUCCUUUGUGUAUAGUGCUGUGAGUCUUUGAUUGUCCUCCUUAAAUAUACAUCUUUCAAUUUCAGAUAGAAAAUGGUCAUAAUUUCUUCCUGCUUCUGACGAAAAUAAUUCUGGAAAUAAGAACUCCAAUACUUUCUAUUUCCUUAAUAAUCUUCGUUUCUCUCCCUUCUUCAUCUUUCAGUUUAUGGAUAAGGUUCCUUUUUCGGCGUUGUGUUGCUUGGCUGUGAAAGUAUGUUGUAUUCUUGUCACCAAAUUUCAACGAAUCAACACGAGCUCUUUGUUCCCAAUAACGCUCAUCCUUCUCAAUUUCAAAAUUCAAUUGAAUCUUCGCAUCAAUCAGUUCAGCUAUCUUUUCAUCAUCUCUUUUAGCUUCUGUUAAUUCUAAAAGUAUGGCUGUGAGAAAAUCUUUUCGCCGUCGCCUUUCUAAUCGUCUGUUUUUAUCCCAUUUUUGUAGCUCAUCCUUUAGCAUAUCUAGCUUUUGCAACAGAUUUCCUGAAGAUGUUUCUCAACUGAUUUUGACAUUUUCUUCAAAUGACUCUUCCAUUAACCACCAUGCCUCGAACUUGAAUCUCUUUUUGUUUGGUCGUUUAAUAACCUUUCUCGUAUUAAUUAAAAGGAGACAGUGAUCAGAAAAAGAGUGGAUUAAGUGUCAAAUAAUUACCUCAGGAAACAUGGCCAUCCAUUCUUUGUUGGCAACUCUUCUAUCUAGUCUUUCUCGGAUAUUAGUCUCAGGUAGGUUUCCCUUCUCCCAAGUAAACCAAUUUCCAGAAAACCCCACGUCAGUUAGCUGACAAACUGACAAAACAUUGCGGAACCUUUCCAUUCUUCUUUCAUCUCGAGGUAAACCUCCCCUUUUUUUCAAAACUGUACAUGAUCUCAUUGAAGUCCCUGAAUAUAAACCAAUGAGCUGUCUCACCAGUGUAUAAAUUUCUCAAGUUUGCCUAAGAAUUAUGUCUGUCUUGCACAUAAAGAGAUCCAUAGAAACCAGUAAAUCUCCAUCUACCUCUUGCUUCAUUAUCAUCAACCAUCACAUCAAUAUGUCUUUUGGAAUAACUUUGGAGCGUAAAACCAAUCUCGUUCCUCCAUGCUAGACAUAAACGUCCACUAGUGCUUUCAGAAUUGACUUCAAUCCCAUUUGCAUAACCACUUGUAUAACAAACUUUUUCCAUUUGACUUUUGCAUAAAUUUGUCUACAUAAAGAAGACUACUUGGGGAUUUUGUACCUUCAGCGUAUGCCGAAGUCUUCGAACAGUCCGUGGGCUCACCAAUCCACGGACAUUCCAACGUAAAAUUUUUAUUGUGAUUGGUCGGCUUGCCUCUUGGCAGUCGCCAAUGAUAAAUGGUUGAUCUCCAACAGUAUCUUAUUUCUGACUUCCGUAUUACUACACUUACUUUUUGCUACUGGCUCUUUCAUCUCCAACAGUAUCCAAUUAAUACUCUAUCUUUCAGGUCAUGCUCCAUAUCAACUAUAGUUUUAGUUGAUAAUAUUUUUCCCCCAAAUACUACCCAUCCAUCAGUUUGUCCUCUAAGUUGAAUCCCAAAAUUGGAUCAAAAGUUUGUCCAUAAUCUAAUUUUUUGUCUCCCACGGCCCACAAAGAAUUCCUUGUCAAAGAACCAUCAUUUCUGUUUCCGUUCGUUUUCCAAUUGCCCUCUUUUCUCAACUAAACGCUGUUCAUAGCUAGAUUCAUUUUGGACUGAGCUCUUAAGGAUAAGUCCCAACCAUUUCACUAGUCUCCAUACCUAACACCAUCUUAGCUUCACAAAAAGAGUCGUUAUAACCCAAUCAACCAUAGUAGAAGCAAAAUAGUGACAAUAUUUCAUAUUUGAAUUUUACAUAUGUGCAGUUUCUGUAAAACCUAAUCUGCUUUCUCCUUUUUAGCGGGCGCCUUACAUCAGUCUAAACUCUGAUUCCCAUAUAAUUUCUGUUCUCUUUUUCCAGAUUCGAGCCAUCAUAUUCUAAAAAUUUCCCUAUGAAAUUUCCCAGUUGCACAGCCAAAUUUUCAGAAAAGAGGCCAAUAGGAACAUAAUGAAUCUGCACCCAAAAGGGCAACAAGAUUAGGGAAACUUUUAAAGGAUCUUUCCCCCACUGUAAUUUAUGUAGAACUAGCAAAUGAUUAUUGAAUGUCCAUGGAACUCCUUUUAACACCAUAUCCAUAACCAUAACAUGGUAAAAUUAAAAUAAAAAUCGUUUUUCUCCUAGAUUUCGAAUUUGAACCCCCGUUUGGAUGCCACAAAUUUUCCAUAGUACUUUUCAUUGUUGGAAAAUUAAUUAUGUUUGGCUCAACUUGAAUUUGUAGGGCUUCUUCCUCAUCUUCAUUAAGAGUUAAUUCCGCUAAAUCGGCUUCCAUUUUUUUUAGAUUCAAAAUCCUACCUUGGAGUUACUGUGCUAAUCAAGACCACAACGAUUAUUGAAGUAGAUCGCUGUCACAAAUAACAAAACAAAAACAGAAGAAAAGAAACCUAAGAAACGUGCCAGAGAGGCAAAAUAUGCCAUGCUAGGAUAGCAGACUUUUUUAUUAUUAAUACAUUCCAACUACUAAUAUUUAAGUUAAUAUAUAUUUAUACUUAAACAUUAAGAAUAUAUAUAUAAUAAUAUAUAUAAAAUAAACUUAUAAAUAUCUAACUUAUGUCAACUCAACUUUAAGUAAUGGCAUAAUUGUUUCUUUGGCCCCUUUAAUUUUUCUUCAAUCUAUAAUUUAACAUUCACCCUAUAUGCAAUUUAGUUCUUAUACCUAAUUACUUUUAAUUCUAGCAAAUUCACUUAAUCGACACCUAAUUAACUAUACAAUUAGCUUCGUAAAUAUUUAUAAAUAUUUACAAGUCUGAUUUACAGGAACAGAGUCUCGAGAAUGCAUUUUUUUUAAGUUAGUCCUUUUUAAUUAAUUCACUAUCCAAACGUUAAAAUUUCCUAACGAAACUUUAAUACUAACUCAAUGACACUCUGUAAAUAUUUAUAAAAAUAUUUACGGCUCAAUUUAUAAAAUCAAGGUCUUGAUACCCCGUUUUCUACCCAAUUUACCUAAUAAAUUCCCCUAAAUCACAAAUCAUUAAUUCAAAAGUCUUCCUAAAAUUACACUUAACUCAUAGAUAAUAAUUAUUAAAAAUUUUAAACUCACUUGUCAAAUUUAGUGGUCUCAAACCACUGUUUCUGGCACCACAGAAAAUUAGGCUGUUACAGACCGGAUGAUGGGUCGUUUGAAGUUCCGACCAGGAUUGGACCACGUAGUGAUGGGAGGGGGUGCUCAAAUUUUAUGGUCAUUGAAGAAGCGGAAUAUUCCUUUAAGUUUUGGGAUAAUGAAGGGUUCAUGUGUUUAAAAGACCGACUAAGAAAAACUCAAUUGAAAAUUGAAGGUCCUAAAGUGAUAUCAAAAUAUUGAACGAAAGAAACAAAAAAAAAUCACAAUGGUCCAAAAUUGUGGUACAACACCCACAAUUGUCCACUUUAGAAUUGCCAAUGCUUAAAAAAAAACCCGACUGAAACUCUGGACCCAUUUGACGGUUCAUAUUUGAAGUUGAAAACCAGAGCCCAAAUACUGACUAGCUCUAGAAUUAGUUACCCUUGGUUUGGACCCUCCCAUAUAAUCCGACUCGAUAAAAUAUACCCAUUUGUUUUCCUUCGGCAACGAUGUUGUGUAUAAUCCUUUCAACCCGUUUAUUCAUUAUCUCAUUCUCCCCCACUGCGAUUCUCGCAUUUAAAAAAGGCGUUGUACACUUUACCUUGGUGAAGCUGAUGCAUUUUUUCUUAGCCGUAACUAAACAAGCUCUCAUUUCGAUAUCUUCGCACUGCUCUCUUUCCAUGAAGUCCAUUGGUUUCCAACCAAUUCGGGACUGCCACCAACCAAGUUUCCACUUGUUGGAACAGUGAUGGUGAACCCAAUUCGUGCACCUUCCUCGCAUUGAAAUAUGAUUUUUGAUUUGCAGGAUUUGUAAGCAGCGGCCUAAGAAGUAAGGUCUUUGAAGGCAAGGAUGUAUGGACUGGAUGAUGGGUUGUCCGAAGUUUUGUUCAGGAUUGGACAAUAGAGUAAUAGAAGGGAGCGCUCGAAUUUUAUGGUUGUCGAAGAAGCAGAAUAUUCAUCUAAGUUUUAGGGUAAUGAAGGGUCCACGCCUUUAAAAGACCGACUGAGAAAAAACUCAAGUGAAAAUUGAAGGUCCUAGAGUGAUACCAAAAUAUUGAACGAAAGAAAAAAAAACCACAAUUGUCCACAAUUGUGGUACAACACCUACAAUUGUCCACUUUAGAAUUGCUACUACUUAAAAAAAAACCCGACCGAAACUCUAGACCCAUGUGACGGUUCACAUUUGAAGUUGAGAACCAGAACCCAAAUACUGACUAGCUCUGAAAUUAGUCACCUUUGGUUUGGACCCUCCCAUAUAAUCGGACCCAAUAAGAUAGACCUAUUUGCUUUCCUCCUGUAAUGAUGUUGCGUGUGCCAUCCUCUCAACCCGUUUAUUCAUUAUCUCUUUCUCCCCUACUGCGAUUCUUGCAUUCAAAAAUAGCGUCGUACACUUUACCUUGGAGAAGCCGACGUAUUUUUCCCUAGCUGUAACCAAACAAGCUCCCAUUUCGAUAUCUUCGCACCGCUCUCUUUUCGUUAAGUCCAUUGAUUUCCAACCAAUCAGGGACUACCACCAAACAUGUUUGAACUUGUUGGAAGCAGUGAUGACUCACCCAAUUUGUGCGCCUUCAUCGCAUUGAAGUAUGAUUUUUGAUUCGCAGGAUUUGUAAGCGGCAACCUAAGAAAGAAGGUUUUUGAAGGUAAGGAUGUAUGGACUGGAUGAUAGGUCAUUCGAAGUUUCAGUUGGGAUUGGACCAUGGAGUAAUGGGAAGGGGCGCUCGAAUUUUAUGGUCACUGAAAAAGCGAAAUAUUCUUUCAAGUUUUGAGGUAAUGAAGGGUCCAUACCUUUAAAAGAUCGACUGAAAAAAACUCAAGUGAAAAUUGAAGGUUCUAGAGAUUAAAAUAUUGAACGAAAGAAAAAAAAACUACAAUUGUCCACAAUUGUGGUACAACACCCAUAAUUUUCCAUUUUAAAAUUGCCACUGCUUAAAAAAAAUCGACUAAAACUUUAGACCCACGUGACGGUUCCCAUUUGAAGUUGAGAACCGGAGCCCAAAUACUGACUAGCUCUGGAAUUAGUCACCCUUGGUUUGGACCCUCUCAAAUAAUCUGACCCGAUAAGAUAGACCCAUUUGCUUUUCUACGGUAACGAUGUUGCGUGUACCAUCUUUUCAACACGUUUAUUCAUUAUCUACUUCUCCCCCACUGUGAUUCUCGCAUUCAGAAACGGUGUCGUACACUUUACCUUGGUGAAGCCAACACAUUUUUCAUUAGCCACAACCAAACAAGCUUUCGUUUCGAUACGUUCACACUGCUCUCUUUUCGUUAAGUCCAUUGAUUUCCAACCAAUCAGGGACUGCCACCAAGCGGGUUUGCACUUGUUAGAAGCAAUAAUGGCACACCCAAUUCGUGCACAUUCCUCGCAUUGAAACAUGAUUUUUGUUUCACAGGAUUUGUAAGCGGCGACCCAAAAAGGAAGUUCUUUGAAGGUAAGGAUGUAUGGACCGGAUGAUGGGUCAUCCGAAGUUCCAGUCGGGAUUGGACCACCGAGUAAUGGGAAUGGGCACUCGAAUUUUAUAGUUGUCCAAGAAGCAGAAUAUUCCUCCAGGUUUUGGGGUAAUGAACAGUCCAUGCCUUUAAAAGAUCAACUGAGAAAAAAUUCAAGUGAAAAUUAAAGGUCCUAAAGUGAUACCAAAAUAUUGAACGAAAGAAAAAAAAAACCAAAAUUGUCUACAAUUGUGGUACAAGACCUACAAUUGUCCACUUUAGAAUUGCUACUGCUUAAAAAAAACUGACUGAAACUCCAGACCCAUGUAAAGGUUCACAAUUAAAGUUGAGAACCGGAGCCCAAAUAUUGACUAGCUCUGGAAUUAGUCACCAUUGGUUUAGACCCUCCUAUAUAAUCCAACUUGAUAAAAUAUACCUAUUUGCUUUCCUUCGAAAACAAUGCUGCGUGUAUAAUCCUCUCAACCCGUUUAUUCAUUAUCUCCUUCUCCCUUACUGCGAUUCUUGCAUUUAAAAAUGGCGUUGUACACUUUACCUUGGCAAAGCCGACAUUUUUCCUUAGCCGCAACCAAACAAGCUCUCGUUUCAAUAUAUUCGCACCACUCUCUUUUCGUUAAGUCUAUUGAUUUCCAACCAAUCAGGGACUACCACCAAACGGGUUUGCACUUGUUGGAAGCAGUGAUGACGCACCCAAUUCGUGCACCUUCCUCGCAUUGAAAUAUGAUUUUUGAUUUGCAAUAUUUGUAAGCGAAGAGGACCAGAUGAUAGGUCAUCCGAAAUUCUGAUUGGGAUUGGACCAAGGAGUAAUAGGAGGGGGCGCUCGAAUUUUAUGGUCGUCGAAGAAGCGGAAUAUUCCUUUAAGUUUUUGGGUAAUAAAGGGUCCAUGCCUUUAAAAGAACGACUGAGAAAAAACUCAAGUGAAAAUUGAAAGUCCUAGAGUAAUACCAAAAUAAAGAAAGAAAAAAAACCAAAAUUGUAAAGUCAAAUCUUUUCAAGUUUAUCCGAGUUAAAAGUGCUCAUGGGCCGGGUCAGGCCGGGCUCAACUGAAAAUUCAAGCCCAUUUACUAGGCUCGGGCCCGACCCGAAAAAUUGGCCUAAAAUUUUGCCCCAAUCUGACCCGAAUAAAAAUGUUAAAACUCGGGCCUAACCCGACCUGCUCGUAUUAAUUUUUUAUAUAAUUUUUAAAUAUGUAUAAUACAUCAAAAAUACUAAAAACAUCAAAAUAAAUAUUUCCCAACAAAUUGAAAAUAAAUUUUAAAAAAUAUGUAGACUUAAAUAACACUAAGAUAAAUACAAUUUAACAAGCAAAUGCCUCUAAAUUAAUAACAAAAUUAAUAAUAAAAUAAGUUUUAUACAAUAUCCAAACAAUAACAAUAAAAUAGUAGCAACAUAAUAGGAAAAUGGUAGCGAAAUAGAGAGAAAACAACAAGAAAAUAACAUUCAGAAAAAAAAAGAGCAAAUUUUUUUGUCUUUUAGUGAAUUCAGGUCGGGCCGGGCCUAGGCCAAAAAUAUCUUACCCGAGGCUCGGCCCUUUUUUAAAUGGGCCUUAUUUUUUUGUCCAAGCCCAUUUUUUGGGGCUAUAUUUUUGCCCCAACCCUCCCACAUUUUGGGCUGGCCUUCGAGCUGGACCGGGUGGCCUGACCUAUGAUCAGGUCUAAUCCGAGCUGGAUAGGGAUAAACUCAAGCUUAAACUUAAUUUUUCUUAAAAUAUAAUCCAGCUACUUGUGUAAUAACCCGAAAUUCACGGGCACCGGAAAGUGAGUUAUAGGGCCUCCGUCUUAGUGAAAUAAGUUCGAAAAUAAUUAUUAAAAAUAUUCAUGAGCCUAGUGGUGUGUCUAAUUAGGAUCUAAUUAGGUGAAUUUAGCUUAAUUUAGAGUUUAAUUAUAAAGCAAUAGAAAAUAAAAAGGAUUAAAAGGAUUAAAUUGAAUAAAGGGUAAAAGUUUAAUUAUAAAGCAAUAGAAAAUAAAAAGGAUUAAAAUGGCAAUUAAGCCAUUGGCUACAAAUGAGGCGGCAUAUUGGUGAAAUAAAAUCAAAGAUUUUUUUUAGGUUUUAUAUAUUAUAAUGAUUAUUAUUAUGAUUUUAUAUUAAAUUAUUAUAAUUAUUAAUUAACAUUAUGGUUUUAUAUUAGAUUAUUAUUAUUAGUAUUUUUAUUAAAUAAAUUAAAUAGAAGACAAUUGUAUGAUAAUAAAAUAUACAUGUGUAAGAAUUGUAUUGGUACAAUUGUAAUUUAAAUAUUUAAUUACUUAUAAUUUAAGUAUAAAGAUAUUUUAUAAUUAUGAAUUGUAUUAAUUAAAUCAUGAGAUUUUUAUUUGAUAAGCAAAUUAGAUAAUGACAUUUGUAAUAAUAUAAAUAUGUACACUUGUUAUAUAAUUAUUAAUUUACUUAAUAUUAAAGUAAAAGAUAUUUUAAUAUAUGAUAUUAAUAUUAUAUUAUGUUAAUAAAAUAAUAUUGCAUAAAAAGAAUUAAGGAAACAAAGAAACAAAAGAAACAGAAACGAAGCAGGGAACAAAACGAAAACAGGGGAAGAAAAAGGGAAAGAAAAUAAAAAGGGAAAUUGGGAUUUUAAAGCUUCAAGUUUAAUUGGUAAGUUAAUUAAGUCUUUUUCUCUUAAUUUUGAUAUUUUAGAAGCUUUAAAAUAAGUUUUGAUGAAAUUAAGUUGAUUAUUCAAGAGUUUAUAUGUUUCCAAAUAUGGUUCAUGUUGGAUAAUUUAUGGAAUUAGGGAUUUAAUUGAAUGAAUUCUAAGUUAGAAUUGAUUAAGGGAUUAAAUUGUAAACUAGGCUAUAAGUUUUAUGUUGAAGGGACUAAAUUGAAGAAAUUUCGAAAUUAGGGAAAUGUGCUGGAAAUUUUAUAGUUAAAUAUAAGUUUAGACAAAAUUUGAAUAGAAAAAGAGAGUGAAUUGGAUUAAGAAAAUAAUUAAGUUUAGUUAGGAUUAAAUUGGGAAUAAGGUAGGAAUUGUUUAGAAAUUUAAUUAUUUAUUAUAAUUAAUGCUGUAAAUAAUAAUAUAAAUUACUAUUAAUUUCGUAGCCAACAAAGAACCUGAAACGUCAGCAUCGAAAGGAAAUGAGAAAGUUAUCGAGGACUAAAACGGGAGAAUUACGGUGUGUAUUACUAUAAUUCAAAUUUUAAUUAUUAUUGAUUGCUGAAAUUUUAAUUGUUAUGUAUGGUAAGUAAGACUUGAGGUAAGUAUGUGAUUAUUUGAGAAGUAUAUUGAUUGAAAAAUAAAUAAAUGGUGACAAUUGUAUGGUGUUGAUGGUAUACACUUGUGUGAAAAUUAAUUUGUAUAUGAAUUAAGAUAAUAGAUAUUUGAAUUGAAUGAGUAUUAAAAUUUUUUGUGUAAAUUAAAUUGAAAUUAGAAAAAGUAAAAUAAUACCCUAUUAACUUGUCGGACUAGAUUUGAUACAAAUGGCAUGCUAUUGGAUUUGUGAUGUGAUGAGGAGAUUGUAGUUCGGCCGAGAAGAUGUUUCUGUUAUUAUAUACUUCGAUUUAUCCGAAGAGGCACUUAAUGCCUUACUGGUGUGUUAUGGAAGAUUUAAAAUAUUCUGGGUGUGUUUGGGUUGGACAUUCUGGGUGUGUUUGGGUUGGACAAUCUAGUGUGUUUGGGUGGAAAUCCGCGUAUCUGUCAUAGUCCGAGCUUUGUUAAUAGGGUAAAUAAUUGAAAUGAAAUUUUGAAAAUGAGAUUAUUUGUUUUAGCACUAUUAAAAAGUACGAGAAAGAAUGUAUGAACUAAAUUAUGAAUUGAGUUAGUAUAAGAAAAAUGAAUUAUGAAUUUAAGAUUUAUGAAGUAAAAUAAUUAUAUAUAAAAGUAGUUUAAAUAAUUAUAAAAUUUAUGGUUGAUGUUUGUAAUUUAUUAAUGUUAAAUAGUCUUGAUAUAUAGUAAUACCACUGAGUAUAUCCAUACUCAGCGUACGGUUGUUUCCGUGCGCAGGUUAGUAGAAAUCAAGUGUCCCGGCUCAGCAUCCAGAACAAUCUCGACUCCAACACAAACUUGGUG
rnacentral:lncRNA from 1 species